AUGGAGUCUGACUCUGUUGCCCAGUGCAAUGGCACCAUCUCGGCUCACUGCAACCUCUACCUCCUGGGUUCAAGCAAUUCUUUUGCCUCAGCCUCCUUAGUGGAGAUUACAGGAAAACACUCUCCGAAACGUACAUUUUCUCGAGGCACAGAACCUGGUACGAACAAACAAAAAGCAGAAACCAGCAGAAGGACAUCGUCUCCAAACUGCUGUUUCUCCAGCUGGAGCAGUUCUGGUGCGCCGAGCUUCGGGUCUGUGACAAGAAGACACAUUUCAGAGCCGGGCUGCACAGGAGGGCGGCGUUCACCAGUGAUCAAGCCCUUCCAGCUUCCUGAACCCGACCCUGUCUGCUGGCCUUUGGGACCUCCCCACCCCCUGGCCCUGGCAGCCUGAGGAAGUUCCGUGUGGGAACAGUACGGUCUAUUUAAUUAAUGUGUAUUCCAUUUGGGACAAUGUCCCUAAUUACCAUGAGCUCUGCUUAGUAUGCUGUGCUCGAUUUCAUUCAUCUUGUGUGUUCUGAUGAAAAACAUUAUGCUUCAUUUAAUUUGUCUCCUCUGCUCACGGAUGGUGAUUUCCACAGCAUGGCUUCAGGAGGCUGCCCCACCUGGAAGGCAGGGAGGGCCUCCAGGAGGGUGGUCCCCAGCCAGAGCACUUCAGAGGUGGCGGCGCACGGGCAAGGGCUGGCUGGCUCAUCUGCCCUGUGAGGCCUGGGUGGGCCCUUAGCUUGCACAUCUACCCCAAACUCGCUGGGCCCCACACAAACCUGUCCCCUUAGCUGUUUGGGGACAGCCCCAGUCCCUCCACUCCGUCCCUACCCUGGUCCCCAGCAUGAGCGACAGAGUCCCUCUGGGUCCUCCCCGUCUCAUGGCCAGGCUGCCGAGAGACACUGUGGGCCUGCGCUCCUGAAGCCUUGCGUGUUCUUUGCUCUGAGUGCACACAAGGAUUUGAUGGCAAAGAAAUUACAGCCACUUGGGGAGUGUGCACGGACCCCCAAAAGUGAUGGGCCUGGUGGGUGUGUGCGGUCUGUUGGGUGUGUGGGAGAGCUGGGGCUAGGGUGGGGAUGGUGCUGGCUCCACAGAGCUUGUAACAAGAAGCUGGACCCUGACAGAAGAGGGGGCAGCUAACAAGGGGGACUCAUGGGUGUGGGCAGCAUCCCUGCUGGGCAGGAAGGGUGUGGGCCGCAGAGGCCAUCUGGAUGCCUGGCCACCAGCAUUCCCCUCCAGGCCUGGCUUCUCGGCACAGCUCCCCCGCUCCAACUUUGGGGCCAGGGAAACCCACGGGAGACCUGCAGGCCUACGGGUGCCCCUUGAGGGGGACCUGGUCAAGCUCCGAUGAGCCCCAGCUCUUUCAGGAGGACAGAUGGGUUUGGGUUAUCCUGGUGCCUGACCCUGACACAAGCAAUUCCCCAAAAGUCUGGGUGUCCCUCCUUUCUAGGACCUGUGGGCCCUGGCAAGUUGCCACAGGCCCAGGGGAGGGCUAGGGAAACACUUGUUAGGGGCAUUCCAGGGCCUUCCUGGAGUCUGCAUCCUGGUGAAGGGCUCUGGGCCUGUGGACUGGCUCCCACCUGGAGACUGCGUGAGGCAUGUGGCUUGCCCGGGGCCCCAGCGGCCCCAGCUCCCAGCUCUCCUUGUCUAAUUAUGGACGCUGUCAAUCCUGAGUGAGCUGCCAUCUCCUUGUCCCUGUGAGCCCCAUUGGCGUAGCUCCUGGAGCGGGCUGGCUCCGGCCUGGUUGCCCAUUCUACCGGCCGUUCCCUGCCCAGGAAGUGCAUCCACUCGCUUCUACCAUCCUGUGGUCCCUGCUGUGCGAGGGACCCAGUCUGAGGUCCCACCUCCCACUGUCAGCCUCCGCUUGCUGAGGACAGCUCCCACCGGGUCCCCAGGUAAGGUGUCAUCCUCUCAGAGAACAGUGUUUUACAUGUUUUCUUACAUAACAUAAAGUUUACCAAGUUAACCAUUACAUUUUUUGUUUUUGAGACAGGAUCUCAUUCUGUUGCCCAGGCUGGAGUGCAGUGGCGUGACCUUGGCUCAUUGCAACCUCUGCUUCCUGGGCUCAAGUGGUCCUCCUGCCUCAGUCUCCCAAGUAGCUGGGACCCCAGGCACACACCACAUGCCUGGCUCAUUGUUUGUUUUUGGUAGAGACGGUUUCCCUGUGUGGCCCAGGCUGGUCUCCAACUCCUGAACUUAAGUGAGUCGCCCGCCUCAGCCUUCCAAAGAGCUGGGAAUGCAGGCGUGAGCCACCACGCCUGGACUGAGAUUUGAAUGUUUUUAAUUAGUGCAAAUCCCAUAGUAUAUUUUUAUUAUUUUAAAUUAACAAAUGAAAAAUUGUACAACCUGAUGUUUUGACAUGUUUACAUUUUAGAAUGACUAAAAUAAGCUAAUGUGUCCAUCAUUCACGUACAGUAGAGAGAGAAACGCUUUGGCGAAGAGACCUGAGAACCCCUACCUCAGUCAGGUGAUCAGCUCUAGCAUCAACAGUGAUACAUUCUGUUGCUAGUAUGUAUCCUUGAUAGGAUUUGAUCAGAGUGCCAGUUUACUUUUGUGGUUUUCCUACCAAAAACCCAUAAUCUCAAUCUAAUCAUAAAAAAAAAAAAUCCCAGCAUGGAGACACUAUAUAAAAUACCUGACCAAUACUCUUCAAAACUGCCAAGGUCAUGCAAAACAAGAAAUGUCUGAGAAACUGUCACAGCCAAGAGGAGCCUAAGGAAUUAGUAUCAAUGACUUCAUGUAAUGUGGUAUCCUGGAUGGUAUCCUGGACCAGCAAAACGAUCUUAGAUAAAAAUUUUAAAACCUAUGAGUAAAAUAUGAACAUCAGUUAAUAAUAAUGUAUUGAUACUGAAUAAGUAAUUGUGACAAAUGUAUCAACCCAAUGUAAGACACUAAUAAUAAGAGAAACUGGGUGGGGAGCCUAAGGGAAUGCUCUGCAUAUUUUGAAACUGUUUUUAUAAACCAAAAAAUAUCCUAAAAUAAAAGUGUAGUAUCCUAAAAAAAAAAAAAAAAA
rnacentral:lncRNA from 13 species